AGAGACUUAGUUUAUGAUAAAUGUAAGGUUGUCAACUUUAAGAAGCCUCUGGCAGUCUCUU
rnacentral:tRNA from 1 species